UACGGAGGGUGCAAGCGUUAUCCGGAUUCACUGGGUUUAAAGGGUGCGUAGGCGGCGCGGUAAGUCGGCUGUGAAAUCUCGGAGCUUAACUCCGAAACUGCAUUCGAUACUGCCGUGCUUGAGGACUGGAGAGGAGACUGGAAUUUACGGUGUAGCGGUGAAAUGCGUAGAUAUCGUAAGGAAGACCAGUGGCGAAGGCGGGUCUCUGGACAGUUCCUGACGCUGAGGCGCGAAGGUCAGGGGAGCAAACGGG
rnacentral:rRNA from 1 species